ACGCUCGACACCUACGGGGGGCAGCAGUGGGGAAUAUUGCACAAUGGGGGAAACCCUGAUGCAGCGACGCCGCGUGAGCGAAGAAGUAUUUCGGUAUGUAAAGCUCUAUCAGCAGGGAAGAAACUGACGGUACCUGACUAAGAAGCACCGGCUAAAUACGUGCCAGCAGCCCGGUAAUCUGAGCGGGCUGGCAAGGC
rnacentral:rRNA from 1 species